rnacentral:tRNA from 1 species
GCGCCCGUAGCUCAGAUGGAUAGAGCACGUGCCUCCGAAGCACGGGGUCGCCAGUUCGAAUCUGGCCGGGCGCGCCA